CCCUUAGAUGUUCUGGGCCGCACGCGUGCUACACUGAGUAAUUCAAUGGGUAAGGGAACGCUAGAGCAUUACCUAAUCUUGAAAUUUGCUCGUGAUGGGAUCGACGGUUGCAAUUUUCCGUCGUGAACGAGGAAUACCUUGUAGGCGCAUGUCAUCAUCAUGCGCCGAAUACGUCCCUGCCCUUUGUACACACCGCCCGUCGCUCCUACCGAUUGAGUGAUCCGGUGAGGCUCUGGGACCUGGACGGAAAGAGCGUUUCGCUUGUUCUGUUUGGGAAACUUGGUCGAACCUUAUCAUUUAGAGGAAGGAGAAGUCGUAACA
rnacentral:rRNA from 1 species